GACUCCGGUGGCGAUUCACCGAAAACUUUCAUUCUUCCUAAGUGGCAUACGCUGCGGAAUAAAUAUAUAGAGCUAAACUGAGGAGUG